GUCUUACCAUACCACCCUGAAUGCGCCCAAUCUCAUCUGAUCUCGGAAGCUAAGCAGGGUUGGGCCUGGUUAGUACUUGGAUGGGAUACUUUAAUUUCUUAUACUAUGAAGUUGAAGAUA
ensembl:rRNA 5S_rRNA 5S ribosomal RNA